UACGGAGGGGGCUAGCGUUGUUCGGAAUUACUGGGCGUAAAGGGCGCGUAGGCGGAUACUUAAGUCGGGGGUGAAAGCCCAGGGCUCAACCCUGGAAUAGCCUUCGAUACUGGGUAUCUUGAGUUCGGGAGAGGUGAGUGGAACUCCGAGUGUAGAGGUGAAAUUCGUAGAUAUUCGGAAGAACACCAGUGGCGAAGGCGACUCACUGGCCCGAUACUGACGCUGAGGCGCGAAAGCGUGGGGAGCAAACAGG
rnacentral:rRNA from 1 species